rnacentral:lncRNA from 10 species
AAGUGAUUGAAGUCCUUUGUCAGCUCUACCCCGUCUCAUUCUCUUUCCUUUUGCCUAAGGAAACCACUCUCCUAACCACCUUUAUGCAAUCUGUAAUGUGUACAUCUUUUUGCAGCUAGCUUGUUUUACAUAAUGUUUUUGAGAUUUGUCAGUGUUGUGUAACUCCACCUUAUUCAUCUUAAUAGCUGAACAGAUAUUCUGUUAUUUUAAUAUGUCACUGUUCAUUGUUUAGUAUCUCCAGUGCCUGACAUACUUUAGGCACUGUAGGUAGCUAAAUGUUAGUUGAAUGCAUGGCUGCUGUAGCAUUUGAACUAAGUAGAAAAGAAUAAAUAGGACUUCAUGUGACCCAACAAGAGUAUUCCAGGCAAAAGGAAUACUAGCCAAAAGCAGAGACAUGAAAGUGCAUGAACUAUUUCAAGAAUUUCCAUACUUUUAGUACUGAAAUGUAGAAUGUAUGGAGAUCAUGUGAUGAAGGAGAAACCUGGAAAGAUGAGGCUUAAGCUUAAAGGAUAUUAUCCUGAAGAGCUUACACAAGCUCGGCGCCAUUAAAUGCUUUUCCAGUUAUGAGGAAGCUGAUUAGAGCUGUAUUUUCAGAAGAUGAUACAGCGCACUAGAGAUAUAUCUUAGGAUAUAAAAGAUUAGUGACGGGGAAUUUUAGACUAUCAAGCAUUGUAACAAUAACAAUCAUUGCAUUAAGCAAGUAAGACAACCAGCCAGACUAAAAAUCCAAAAACAUUUUCCUAGUCCAUCAUAUUAUCACAUUCCUUAACAAUUAUUAAUAUUUCAUAUUUUCUUCUGACAAACUUGCAACAUUUUCUACUUCGGCCUCUUACUUAGAUGAUACCUCACAUCCUAUUGAGUUAAAAAAAAACUUCCCCAUGCUUUCAUCACCACAUCUACCAGACCUGUUCCCUAAUAUACUGCCACUGCUGUUACUAUAGAUGAACUGUCUGAUUUAGGAGGGAGAGUAAACCCUUUAAAAAUAUCUUUUUAAUACAAUAGUAACUGAACUAGUGUUACAAACUUUCAAGGGGGGAUUGAAACGUGAAUAGUAAGAAUAUGAAAGAAUGGAAUAGUUAAAAGACAAUUGCUUCUAAGAGAUAAAUGAUCCAUAUAUAGUAAUAUAAAAAUAAGAUACUUUUUUAAUGUAUAUUUCUUUUUUUCAGGUAGAUUUAGGUUCUAAGCUUUAAAAGCUAAAUCUAAAUUUACAUGUAUGUUUUUAUAGGAUCAUUGUUUCUACUAUUUCUUAACAUAAGCAGUUUAUUAUGAAGUAGAAUCUUUAACAAUCCUGUUUUAAAUAAUAUGUUUUAUUAGCCUUCGUCUUACAUAUUUCCCAGUUGUCCAAAUAUAGUUGGAUAACUUAUUUGUUACUGACUGUGAUAAAAAUAGAGUGUACAUUGUACAGUUUACUACAGGUGUCAUUAAUUUUCUCAUUCUCUCAUAUGCAUUGAGUAACUACCAUACAGCAAGCACUAUUCUAGGAACAGGUAGAUAAGAUUUAUUAGUGGAAAAUCACUUACCUAAAACCAUAUCAUAUAACCGUGUUAAUGCACCUUGGUGUAUGAGAAACUUUCAACUACAAAUAUUUGAUUACCUUAAUUGCAAUUCUUAAGGGAGGCUAAGUAGAUGGAUAGCUGAAUAAAGUUAUUACUUGGAAAUGUUGCCAUGUAGCCGCAGGAGCCAAUUUCAGUGCACACAUCUUAAGCAUCAGUGUACACAUUUAUAGGUCUUUGGUGUUUGGGCCAGCAGAACCCACCUGGGUUAUGGAAUCACACUGGUGUACUUGAUCGUGUUCGGGUAUGAACAUGCUCUGAUUUACAUUGAGUACUAAUUGAGCAUGUCUAUUUAAAUUAAAGUUCCAGAAUUUAUGUUUAGGCCAGAACCUCAGGUUUGAACUUCUCCCCUAAAAUUCCUCUGGCUUCUCAUUAAAGCCGCUUUCGGAGAUAUAAGUAAAGAAAGUCAAACAAAAGACUUUGUAGCAUGUUUUGUUUAACAUGUUUUGUUUAGCACUGUUUUUCUUGAGCUAUAUAUGAUAAAUAUCUAGGGAGAGGUGGCAGAAGGACAAAAUUGUAGUAGUUUGAGGUUUCUUGGGGGAAAGUUGAAGCAUUAAAACAUGUUAGCAUCCUUAUAUGAACUUUUAACUAUGGAAGGAAGAGUCAGUAUUCCCUUUCAGGCAGCUGUUUAUCUGGCUUAGACUGCCUCAAGGCUGUGUAUUGCCCUUCAG